CGGUCUUGCGUAUCUCUCGCCACUGUCUGUAACUCUGGUUACAGUCUCUCCACCCCCCUCCCCUACUGCAGACUUCUAAAUCCGUCCCAUUCCACCACGAAGCGGAGCAGGACAUAAGAACUGGACAGAAAAUUAGCCGUCACAAAGAAAAGUUCAUUUACAGCUUAAAUAUCUGACUAUUAAGAUUUCCUUCCGAAAACAAGGCGGUACACUCGGUCCAGGGGCGGAAAGAGCAGAAGCAGGAAAGAGGGAGAGAAGCGAUUUCACCCGGCAGCUAGCAAAGGAGGCUGUGGCCGGAGGGGCUGGGAGCAAAGCGCGCCGCGCAAGGACCCGGCCUGCGGCGGCGAUCCCCGGCGCCGGCCGGCCCUGCCUAGACCUGAGAAACUUGGUAGCCGCUUGGGAGAUUUAAGGACUUGCGGGGAGUGGAGCAGGGCCAGACAUUCUGGUGAAGGCAGAAACUGAGUGACAAGAGGACCACGGAGACCUUGGAGAGGAUAGCAGCAAAAUGGGAGAGACUUUUAAAUUGUGAGCAGAAGGCGACUUCCCUACUGAGGCAAGAGAGUGCAGCUGGCCACACUCACCCCACAUGGCGUGUCCACACUGUGGAAGCUUUGGGAUCAAGCUUCAAAACACAGGCGAGUCAGGCUUCCUGGUCUCCGAAAGUUGGGGCAAAAUGUGCCGGCAGAUAGCAGGGCUUGGAGGCUGGGACAGACCCACAAACCAUUCUUGCUGUAGGCAAAGGGUCUUUUUGUUGGUGGCCAGAAUCUUCUUGCUAUUGUCACCUGAAUUUUUUCAUCCCAUGCCUGCCUCCCUUUCUCUCUCUCCCUUUCCUUAUCCUUUUUGGAUUGAUGGGCUGUUCCCUUUUGCAUUUUUGACUCAGGCGUCGUCUGAUUACAAGUAAAGAGCCACUGAAGUUGAUCUCAUAAAAAUGCCGCCAGCUCACUUUGAUCUGCGAGGACUGGGUCCAAGCCUAAGUAGGCGCUAAAGCUGGGAAUGGCGGCUCGGGCCAACCAGGCCUUAGCUGGGCAGUGAGGCUGGAGAUCCGGGCGGCCCAAGCAGUGGUAAUCCUGCCCCGAAAAGACAUUUUCUGUGCUGCUGCAACUAGGUUUGGAAACCAAGGUCCAAUGGUAGUGACUCCAUCUCCAGACUGCUUUUAAGACAUUUCCUUCAUUUUAGAGCAUUUGGUGAGGGGCCCAGUGAAACUGGCUCGUAAAAUGGGGCUUUUAUGGGGAGAAAUGGGGUCACAUUGCUAUUCUCCUGGGACAAUCCCGCUGCCCAGUUAGAUGGGUGGGGCUGCAGGGGUAGAGGAGCUGCCCUCCUUCCCCCGUCCUGUUCAGGGGCCUGAGAGUAGUGUCCAUUUAGGUGGCUUGACUCGGGGCCUUGGGCUUGGGGCGAUGGCCAUGGCUGGGGAGUGGGAGGUGUCCUGGGCACAGGAUAAACUGCUGACUUGAAAAUCCAAGCACACUAAAGGUAUUAAUAAAUGCAAAGUAUUUCUAGAAGGGAGAGAAAUGCACAAAAAGGUGCAAGAUGAUUUCUAAUGAGGGUUCAUUCUUGUCCGCCCAGCCUUGGAACAGCUGAGGGUAUCCACUCAUUUAUUGCUUAUCUUCUUAUUGACUCCACUUGGGACUGAUCUUACAGUCCAAGCCCACCUGAGCUCUGACAACCGCCUUUCUUCUCCCUAGGUUUUCCUUCCAGUUCAUGGUCUGUGGGUGUUGGGUGAGCUCCUUUUCCAACCACAAUCUGCUCUCUAGAGCCCAAAGCAGCUGUAGGAGGUGGACAAACUGCAAGGCAGCCCCGCUCUGUGGCAAAGGAGGAAGAAUAUUAAGUCUCAGAAGCCUCUGCUGGGAGACCUUAGAGUUUCCUGGACAUCAACUCCUUUGACAUUCUUUCUUGCCUUCUCUUUUUGUUUCAAGGAAAUAAAGCUGCCAGCAGCUCCUUGCAGCCGCCUGGCUUACUUUUAUGGUGGCCCUGGAAUAAACUUUGGUGGUCAAAUUCAAGUGCUUAGGCCCACAGCUGGCUCCUCACAGGAAGCGCACCCCCCUCCCCCCCACUGUCGGCCCUGGCAGUGCAGAAUUCGCCUUGGGGGCUUGGGCCCCACAUCACCCUAGAGGCCAGGAUGGGGAAAGAAACAGGGCCCUGGGGGAAGUCGGGGAAAGCUGGAGCUGAGACUCUGAGCCCUCAUCCACACCUCUGCAAGGGUAAGGGUACCUCUUAUCUCCCUUUUGCCCAUUCCUAUCACUGUUUGGGGAGCAUUUUGCCUCCAAUAAACUCAAGUUUAAUGAGGUCAGCAUGAACCCGAUAAAAGCCACAGUCCAUAAUUCCCCAUCAUUAUAAUUAAAAACCUUGGCCCCAGCUCACCCUAUAAAAAGGAGUAGCGGAAGGGGGAAAAGUAGCAGACUUUUCUUCUUGCAGCCCCUUACCUACAGAGAAGUCCUACACUGUAGCAAAGUCCUAAUCUAGUUCUUCUUUGCCCUCAGUUAAGAUCUGGCCAGGCCAAAAGAAGGGUUUGGGAAGCAUGGCCCAGCAAUGAGUGGGUAGAGAGGUGAUGGAGGCCUAAUUCUGGGCAUUCCAGAGUCACCCCAGGAACGGGUCCCAUGGCUGAGGCAGCUCCAUGCCACGUGUUGCUGUAAAAGGCUUAGCAAAUUUUGGGAGGCAGGAGGCAAAAGGAAUGGAUUUGGGGAAAAGGUACAAUUUUUUUUUGUGUCUUCCCCAUUUAUUUUUGGGUCCUUGGGUAGCUCACCAAUUUCUGCCAGGAAAAUCAAAUCCAAAUAUUUUAAAAGUGAAAACCAAUUUUAACAAAGUCAGGGGUGAAAAGAGAAUUUGGGCCAUCUCUGGCUUUCUCCAAGAGCACAAUGAGCUGAGACCUUGGGCUUCAGUUUCUCCCCUCCUACCUGAACAAAUUGUACCCCGGUGGCUCCUCCUUGGAUCCAGGGUUACUCUCUGCUUGUGGCUGUUGCUCUGGCCCCUUGGACUCACUUCAGAAUCUUUCAAUAAAGUGAU